CAUGAGUUUGAGUAAACUCCAGGAGUUGGUGAUGGACAGGAAGGCCUGGUGUGCUGCAGUCCAUGGGGUCACAGAGACUCGGAGAUGACUGAGCGACUCUCACUUGCUUUCCUCACACCUGCAGCACCCAGAAGGCAGACUGUACAGCUGCCCAGCCAUCAGCUCCAGGAAAAGGACUGUGUCCUGACUUUCCCCACGGGUGCAGGUGGCCCACGUGUCCCGGCUCACGGCCGCCCCCUCCAUCCACAAGUCGUCGGCACAGUUUUACUCUCCUCCCUGACCUCUCCUUUCUUGGUCACGUUUCUCCCUGACUCUGACCCUCUUGCCCCUUGCUUAUAAAGAUCCUGCGAUUACACUAGGCCCACUUGGCUAACCCAUGAGCUUCUCCCCACCCAUGCCGAGGCCCUUAAUUAAUCACAUCUGUAAAGUCCCUCUUGUCAGGUAACAUACUCGUGAGUUUCAAGGGUUAACAUUAUUAACAUCUUUGGGGGGGAAAUAUUAUUCUGCCACCAAGGAGGGAAAAGAGAGAAAGGAAAGGAAGAGCAAAAAAAAAAAAAAAAAAAAAUUAGCCAAAGCACCAACCACUGGUAUACUAUGCAAAAUUAUGGUUUUCGUUGAGCAUAAACAAGCAACUUUUAUUCUUUUAAAAAAAAAAUUAAAAAUAAUUUUUAUUAGCAUACAGUUGAUUUAACAAGCAAGCUUUAAAGAGGAUACAAUAUUUGAAAUAAAGUCACGGAGGAAGAGGCAGAGAGCGAGGCGGCAGAGAGGAGGAGUAGGAAGUGGAGACAGCAGUUUUCGAGGCGCAGUUUAAGCUGGUGUAUCCAUUCAUGCCUCCGGGCAGGCAAAGAUAUUUCGUAAGAAAUCAUUUCAGAAUUUGAUUUUACUUCUUGCCAUAUGAGUUUCUGUUCCCUUGUCAGGACCAGAAAAGCGAGUGAGGGUGUGAAUGGAGGUUUUCAUUUAUGAAACGGCCCCCAGGUGCUGCCUUUUAAGGACAGAAACUUGCAACUCUCUCUUCAUUAUAGAAUCACAAUCCCUUUUUCUUUUUCUCCUGGACUGGUGUUCACCGGACCGUCCAUCCAUCUGAGCGACAAGCCGGGCUUCAUACAGUGCCUGUCUGUUGGUAGAUGCUGGGGAGACCCUUGGGAAAGCCAGCCCUCACUCUGCGGAAAGUAAAGAGACAGAUGAAUCCUACACAGACGCAGACCCUGCCGUCGGCGACUACUGUCCACGGGCCUUAAAAACCACGGCUGGCUCCAGAGGUAUUAGAGCUGAAGCAUCAUUUGUGUUGGUCACAGGGGUUGCGAGUGUGUAAUAACAUUCCAGAGCUCACGUUUUGCAUGAAGCACUUAGGAG